rnacentral:tRNA from 1 species
AAGAAAUUAGUUAAACCAUAACAUUAGUUUGUCAUACUAAAAUUAUUAGCCUCUAAUAUUUUUUA